GUCAUUCUGCUCUGGGUUCAGACGUGCACUGCAGCAGCACCGGGACUUGACAGCCCUACGGCUCGAUCAGCUUUCUGUUUUCAUUGCCUUACGAUGCCAUGAGUGGAACUAUUGUCAAAUCAGAGUUCACUCCCCAGCUUUUCAGUCUUUCCCCUAAUUCUUGCUCUAUCAGAGGUCGAGGACAACAGUAUAAUGAUUCAUAGGUUCUACUUCCUGGCAAGUAAUCAUUUUCCCACGGGCCCUUGUGAAUUGAUGAAUAUGAAGACACUAAGAAAGCAGAAAUAGAACUGAGAAGAAUGAAAUAACUGUCUCUACCUUUCUCGAAUUGUCUAAUAUGGAAAGAAUGAAAGACAGCUAAUAAGCAACUCUCUGCAAGAAGACAUAUGGCUUAGGUUCUGCUGAGCUAUUGGUGAUUUGAUUCCAUGCAUAUGUAUUCACUACUGAGAUGGGAUCUUGCUAUGUGGCCCAGGCUGGCCUCAAACUCCUGGCCUCAAGAUAUUUCCCCCUGCCUUGGCCUCUCAAAGUGAAUCUACUUGGAGAGAGUCAAACACAGAAUCCCUUUGAAUUUAAUGGCCAUUCCAGGUGAUUUGAACAGCCAAAUAAGAAACAGGUCCUCUUCAAUGUACAAUCUGCCAAGUAUGAAGUCUGAAUGACCAUCAUUAUUAUGUAUUUAAUGUGCAUAGAAAAUCUAUCUGCAACCUUCCAGAGUGUACCAGAAGUUUGGAAUGUACAUUAUUAUUGGCUCCAUCUCAAACCACUCAUAAAUCAAAGAAAAUAGCAGUUCCAGAGGAAUCAUCAUAGAGGCUUCUAGGCCCCCAUGCUGUGUGAACCUGGUGAGAAAGGGAAGUCUGCUCUCACUGGACACUGGAACUGUUUGUCUCUGUCUCUGCUGUACUUUCCCUGCCUCUACCUCACUUAGUAAAGAAAUCAUCUUUGCUUGAUAACUAAAACAACCAAUAAGGCUGAGAAAGGGGAAAACCCACAUCUGGAUUUAAAUACAAGGUAUUGGGCCAGCUGCUGGGGAUUAAACUUUGAACAAAACAGAUAGAAUCUAUGUCCUCAUGGGAGUGGCUAAUGGGAGAGUCGGAACAAAAAAAUAGCCAAGGAUAAUCCAGCAAAUGAUUUGGUGAAUGCUAUCAAAGAGAGAAAUACACAUGCUCUGGGAACACCAAGUAGGUACCUAAUACCUAACCUGUACCUGGGGGGCUGGAAAGGGCUUCUUGGAAGAGGCAGAGACUAAAAUGAAGAAUAAGCAUAAGUUAAGACAAAGCUGGGGUGGGGUCAGAAAGAGUGUGAUAGGCCAACGCAGCAACAUGAGCCAAGACUCAAAAAUAAGAGACAGUGUGGCACAUUUGAUGUAGGAAAGACAUUUAGCUGGGAUAGAAAGAAGGCUAGUGUUGGGGCUGAAUGAGGUUGCAUAAAAGUUUGUAAGCCAAGUUAAGGAAUUGAUCAAAUUUAUAUUUUAGAAUGAUCACUCUGACCUCAGCAUUACAUGACCUGAAGGGGUUAAGCCCAUACAUCUGUAGAGAGACCCGUUAGAAUAGGACUGCAGUAAUAUGGUGAGAGACACUGGUGCCUAACUAGGCUGGUGAUCAUAGAGAUAAAGGGAUAUAUGGGAGAGGUAGAGCCGACAGCCAUUGAUAACUGGUGGUCGGCCAGGUCAAGGGGACAGUGUCUGCUUUAGGUAAUUGGCUUGAUGAUAAUCUCAUUUUCAAAGAUCAGGAACACAGGCCUGAGAGUACAUUUGGAGAGGAAGAUGAUUCGGGUUUGCAUCAUGUAGGGUUCGAGGUGUCUAUGGGACACUAUAUGCAGAAGUCCAGUAGGCAAUUGGUUCUGUGGGCCUAGCACUCAGAGGAGAGUGCGAGUCUAAUGACAGAAAAUUGGCAGUCACCAUCGUGUAGAUGGUAAUGGAUGGUAUGAUUUGGGGUGAUUGCUGAGGCAGGAACAUGGGCACAAUGCUGAGGAGUGCAAAUGGCUAAGGGAUGGGACACAGCAGGAACCUGCAAAGGAGCCCAGAAAACAAGAAAUAGGGAGAAAGCCUGGGAACACUGUGAUUCUACGGAAUCACAGAAUUGAAGACAAACAAUGUGAAACUAAGUACAGGCCCAUUUACUAACAUAUGUGUGUGUAUAUAUAUAUAUAUAUAUAUAUAUAUACACACACACACAUAUAUAUACUUAUAUAUAUAUACACACACAUAUAUAUACUUAUAUAUAUAUACACUUAUAUAUAUAUACUUAUAUAUACUUAUAUAUAUAUACACUUAUAUAUAUAUACUUAUAUAUACUUAUAUAUAUAUACACUUAUAUAUAUAUACUUAUAUAUACUUAUAUAUAUAUAUAUAAAAUUUAUUUAUUUAUUUUUAUUUUAUUUUAUUUAUUUAUUUUUGAGACAGAGUCUCCCUCUCUGACCCAGGCUGGAGUGCCGUGGUAUGAUCUCGGCUCACUGCAACUUCUGCCUCCCAGCUUCAAGCAAUUCUCCUGUCUUAGCUUCCCAAGUAGCUGGGAUUACAGGCGUGCACCACCACACCAGGCUAAUUUUGUAUUUUUAGUAGAGACGGGGUUUUGCCAUGUUGGCCAGGCUGGUCUCGAACCCCUGACCUCAGGUGAUCUGCCCACCUCAACCUCCCAAAGUGCUGGGAUUACAGGUGUGAGCCACUGCAUCUGGCCUCAUAUAUUUUACUAUAACAAAUCAGUGUAGGCCAAAUAAAGUUAGAAAUGGAAGCUAAUGGAAAUAAAGAAUAGGCUUUCCUGUUAGUAUCUAUAGGUGUGUGUGUGUGUGUUCGUUAUUUAGGGAAAGAAACAGGGAACUUGGGGCAUAUAAUAUUUAUGUUCCCUUAGCUUAGGCAUAUAUGGUAUAUUUAGUUACUUAAUUAAUUUUUUAUUUAGAAGUUAUGUAUAGAGCAUUUUUCCUAGGCCAGUGGGGGAUUAAACCAGAAAUAUAAGAAGUGUCUGCCUUCUGGAAGCUUGUGAUCUAGUUAGGGGUAUCACAAGUGCACAGCGUUCACCAGUGGCAGAGAAGCAUGUGAUGAGUACCCAGAGCUUAUAUUGAGAAUAAGGUAUACAAGAAUUUAGAGGAGGCCAAUGUUGAUUUUCACCAAGAGUAUGGGACAGAGAGACAAGACAGGGUUGGUCAUCUAGUUCUGUGCACUGAAUAUAAUUUUGCAGGUUUAGGAGUGUUUGAAAACUACAAGGAAGAUAGAAUCUUGGUCUUGUUCUCCAGCAUGCCCUUUCUUGAACUCACCAGGGUAAUGCUGCAUCUUUUCAGAAAUGCCUCUGGCUUCUCAAAGCAACUUUCAUCCUGGAGAGGAACAAUUAGUCUUUGUCUUUCAUUAGUAAAAGAUUUAACGGCUCAGAAGGAGAAGCUAGUGGUGACUUUUCAAUCACCCCUUCUACCUCCCAG
rnacentral:lncRNA from 1 species